rnacentral:lncRNA from 1 species
CUGAAAGCUUCAGUUUUAGAUACUAUUGGCAUCCUCUACGGAAGCUGUCUAGUAACUUUGAUGCAACCAGCAUUCAGCAUUUACAUCAUCAUGUGCAUGCAUCUUAGUCAGCUUGGGCUGCUAUGAUAAAAUACGACGGACAGAGUGGCUUAUUACUCAUGGUUCUGGAGUCUAGAAGUCUGAGAUCAAGGUGCUGGCCGAUUCAGUUCCCGGUGAGGCUUGCAGAUGGCUGUCUUCUUGCUGUGUCUUCACGUGGUGGCGAGAGGGAGCUCUGGGGUCUCUUCUCUAAUGACCUCAUCCAAACCUAAUCACCUCCCAAAGACCCCACCUCCUAAUACCAUCACACUGGAGGUGA